AUUUUGUCUAAUACUAUUGGGCUUAAGUUCAUACUUUGUUUUCGGUCCAGCGAAACAUCUUAUUAUGCGCUUACCCUAAUUUGUAUACUUUGAUCGGCGGCGACAGUGACGAUCAAUCUUCCUCACGGUUUAUGAGACGGAUCACGUCAUGGUUUUUACGUUUUUAAUCCCAUCAAUUGAGGCGCCCACUACGAGUUCUUCAAUGCAUUGUUUAAGUCGGCGAGAUCUGUGAUAUCAGACUGAUAUUAUCAGUAUUCACAGUUUUUUUCCAGACUGAAGAUGUGAGUUCUACGUGUAUGUUUAGGAAUACUGAUUUCUUAAGCUUCUUCGCAGGCGUGGGUCUCCAAGAUUAAUUGGGCCAUUUAUAAGGUUUGUCUAAAAACUCAUUUAUUGGAAUCGUAUGGUUUUCCAGGAAGGGGAGGGGAUGAUAUCUCAGCUGCUCAGGUUUCCAACCAAUCCACAGAAUGCCGUCAAUGAGCAUAUAGGAUGUGGGGUCACAAAGAUGAACAUAAUGAAUGAUUUGCAAGAGUAGAUGCAAAAAGCCUUUGAAGAAUCAAGCACGUCAUGGUGCAAUUAUAAACCUUUGAGAAGAAGGGAAGAAGACGAUGAAGCUGUGAUGAAAACUAGAGCUUUCCAUGAUUGGAAGGAUGGUAACAACAUCUAAUGUGCUCUAUAACACAUACGGUGACAUCACCAUUGAUGUGCUGCAACAAUCCAAUGUUCAACAUGGAUGAACAAUGUUUUUCUUCAGGAUGUAGACAAUGAUGGACGGUUGUGUUUGAAGAAAUCAUUGCGAUGAUGCAAAAAAGAAAUGCUGGUGUCGGGAGACAUCUGUGAGAACAUAAACAAUAAACAAAAUCUUUGGAACAUUUCCCGGUGACGCUACCAGUGUUUGCAAUUUUCAGUUACAUAUAUAGAAGGCUCUAUGUGAAACGGGAUUCAUAGGUAUAAGAAGGCAACUAAAUCCAAAGGUUUUGAGUUUAAAAUGUAAAAGAAAACUAAUGUCUCAUCAUUAGCUGAGGGGACUAUUUCUAUUGUCUCUGUUUUGUUUGUAACAACGGAUAUAAGUUUGAUGAGCUAUGUUUCAUCUCUAUUCAAAUCUUUGACCACCGUAACAACGGGUAUAAGUUUGAUGAGCUAUGUUUCAUCUCUAUUCAAA